rnacentral:piRNA from 1 species
UGACUGAUCUUCCAGAGGACCUGGGA